rnacentral:tRNA from 1 species
UCCCUGGUGGCUCAGAAGGUAAAGCAUCUGCCUACAAUGCAGGAGACCUAGGUUCGAUCCCUGAGAUGGGAA